AACGCCUCUUCUCUUUUACUGUUCCUUUCCUAGAUGGCUUCAAACAUUCUUUUUUAUUUAUUUAUUUAUUUUUAAUUUUGUUCGGUUUUUGUGAUUGAUAUUUUGUCAAUGUUGUAUUUAUAAUUUUACCAUAUUUUGUUGUUUUUUUAUUUUCGAGGUAAUGAAGAAUAAAGUCGUGAUAACAAUAAAAAUAAUAGUAUUUGAGUGAAAUACAUUUCUAUUAUAAAGUGAUUGAAAAAUCUCUAUGUGAUACAUACUUGUAUUUGGAAAUGGAUUCGGCUUACUUUUUUUAAUUGGAAUUUCAUUUUGUUUUAAAUAUAUUACAAAUGGAAUUGAGUUUUAAUUUUUAAUUUUUAUUUAGUAAGUAGAUGAUAUGACAGUUUUUCAUUCAAAUAAAAGUAGAUUUAACUUAAAAAGUUACUUGAGGCAGUUUUCCAUGAAGGGGAUUUGUGUUUUUGUAGUUGAUGACCUCUAUGGAAGAGUUGGGAUGUUGAGAAAUAGUAGGUGCCAACGUCUAAGUGAUGUGAGAAAUAAUAGGUGCCAUUAGAUUGUAAUGUCUUAUUUUUCUAUUGUUAAGUUGUAGCAACUGAUAUAAUAAGUUUAAUUAAAUUGGAUUCUAAUUGGUAUCCAGACGGCAUUAUUUUUUCAAGUUCAUAGAGGUUAGGAUUUCCUCAAAUCAAAUCUAAACUUUAUCUGGAUUUUUUUCAAAAUAACAUCAUUUUUCUAACAAUUUUGUUAGUUAGCAUCAUUUAAUAAUUAUUUAGGAAACUAACACCUUGGGUUUGUUAGGGUCGAAUUCAUUGUAGCAAAUCAAGUGGAAAAGUCUCAAGUUCGAGGGAAUUUGCUCUUUUUCCUUGUUUCCUUUUCCUUCCUUCGUUCUUCAUUCUUCAGAGGCCAAACCAAAUCAAGAACAAACCCACAAAGACAAAAUCAAGAACAACCUUAACAACCCAAAAACAAACCCAGAAAAACCCACCUACCGCAAAAACCACACUCACUUUAGGAACAAAUUCACAAAUCACAAAAAUGGUUUUGGUUCGGGAUGAGAGAGAUGAGCUAGAGAUUGGACCACUGCCAAUGGUGCCGAGGAUGGUCGGAGGAAGAGCCAAGGAGCUCAGCCACGAAAGUUCAGAGAGCAAAGGAUUGAGUUCAUUGUUUUUGAUGGAUCUGGGUUGGUUGUUUCCUUCUUUGUUGAUUUGCGGCCUUCUUUGUGAUCUCUACUCUUUCUUCUUAGUGAGUUUGUGGAACUCGAGUCUUAGACUUGAUUUCCACAUUGAUUUUCAUAGAAAUCGAGUUUUUGAUACUUGAGUUGCUACACUAAAACCGAGUCGAAGGCAUUCGAGAUGAUAGUUUUCUAAAUAAUUUGGAAACAAUACUAACUAACGAAAUUAUUUGAAAAUUAGUGUUAUUUUGAAAAAAAUCUCACUUUAUCUCUUUGUUAUCUUUUGUUCUUGUUACAUAUCAAGUGUUUCAUUAGAUUUAGCCAAAAAAAAAAAAGUGUUUCAUUAGAAACAACCAAAAUUCUAUUUCCUAUCCCCUAAAUAUUUAUAUGUUUGAAAAUUGGUGUUAUUCCCACGUUAUCUCUUUGUUAUCGUUUGUUCUUGUUACAUAUCAAGUGUUUCAUUAGAUUUAGCCAAAAAAAAGGUGUUUCAUUAGAAACAACCAAAAUUCUAUUUCCUAUCCCCUAAAUAUUUAUAUUUUCUCUCUCCAAAUUGGAUCCUAAUUGGUUUUCCGGCAUCAUGUUUUUCUCUAUCAAAUCCAAAAGGUUCAUAGAGGUAUCACUAUGUUGUAGCCGCCUCUCACAAAACAAGGCAAUUAAUAGAGAUAAUUACAAUACAUCAUCAACGUUUAACAGUCCAAGUUAGACAUAAAUCAAGGAGG